GGAGGAAUAUUGGUCAAUGGGCGCAGGCCUGAACCAGCCAAGUCGCGUGAGGGAAGACGGUCCUACGGAUUGUAAACCUCUUUUGUCGGGGAGUAACGUGCGGGACGGGUCCCGUAUUGAGAGUACCCGAAGAAAAGCAUCGGCUAACUCCGUGCCAGCAGCCGCGGUAAUACGGAAGGUCCGGGCGUUAUCCGGAUUCAUUGGGUUUAAAGGGAGCGCAGGCGGGCUUUUAAGUCAGUUGUGAAAUACGGCGGCUCAACCGUCGGACUGCAGUUGAUACUGGAAGCCUUGAGUUCACACAGGGAUGCCGGAAUUCAUGGUGUAGCGGUGAAAUGCUCAGAUAUCAUGAAGAACCCCGAUCGCGAAGGCAGGCAUCCGGGGUGUUA
rnacentral:rRNA from 1 species